GUGGAUGAGGAUUUGAGCCUAUCCGUGACUGCUGAAGCUUGAUUUUCCUGCUGGCGAGAACACGGGAUGCAUGCGAACGGUGGACGCUGCGGAUUUGUUGCAGAAGGACAUUGACUUGUUCUAUAUGUGUGGAGCUUGAUUCGGCUGAGCUUUGUUCUGCUGGAAACUCGUGCACUCCUUGCGGACGGUUGGAAUUUCAUUCACAGAGAGUGCAUGGAUUCUAUGCUAGAAAGGAGUGGUUGUGGAUGUGAUCCGG
rnacentral:lncRNA from 1 species